rnacentral:tRNA from 1 species
GGCCCUGUGGUGGAAUUGGUAGACGCGGUAGACUCAAAAUCUACUGUCCGCAAGGACGUGGGAGUUCGACUCUCCUGGGGGCACCA